GAUGAACGCUGGCGGCGUGCUUAACACAUGCAAGUCGAACGGACUGCGGGAGCUUGCUCCCAAAGUUAGUGGCGGACGGGUGAGUAACGCGUGGGUAACCUGCCCUAUGCAGGGGGAUAACGUUUGGAAACGAACGCUAAUACCGCAUAACCUAGUCGGUUCGCAUGAACUGACUAGCAAAGAUUUUAUCGGCAUAGGAUGGACCCGCGUUGGAUUAGCUAGUUGGUGAGAUAACAGCCCACCAAGGCAACGAUCCAUAGCCGGCCUGAGAGGGUGAACGGCCACACUGGGACUGAGACACGGCCCAGACUCCUACGGGUGGCUG
rnacentral:rRNA from 1 species